GGGACACGUGGUAUCCUGUCUGAAUAUGGGGGGACCAUCCUCCAAGGCUAAAUACUCCUGACUGACCGAUAGUGAACCAGUACCGUGAGGGAAAGGCGAAAAGAACCCCGGCGAGGGGAGUGAAAAAGAACCUGAAACCGUGUACGUACAAGCAGUGGGAGCCUCUUUUAUGGGGUGACUGCGUACCUUUUGUAUAAUGGGUCAGCGACUUAUAUUCUGUAGCAAGGUUAACCGAAUAGGGGAGCCGAAGGGAAACCGAGUCUUAACUGGGCGUUAAGUUGCAGGGUAUAGACCCGAAACCCGGUGAUCUAGCCAUGGGCAGGUUGAAGGUUGGGUAACACUAACUGGAGGACCGAACCGACUAAUGUUGAAAAAUUAGCGGAUGACUUGUGGCUGGGGGUGAAAGGCCAAUCAAACCGGGAGAUAGCUGGUUCUCCCCGAAAGCUAUUUAGGUAGCGCCUCGUGAAUUCAUCUCCGGGGGUAGAGCACUGUUUCGGCAAGGGGG
rnacentral:rRNA from 1 species